rnacentral:rRNA from 1 species
UGAACGGCCACACUGGGACUGAGAUACGGCCCAGACUCCUACGGGAGGCAGCAGCUAAGAAUCUUCUGCAAUGGACGAAAGUCUGACAGAGCGACGCCGCGUGGGUGAAGAAGGCCGGAAGGUUGUAAAGCCCUUUUCUAUCUGAGGAAUAACCACAGGAGGCAAUGCCUGUGGGAUGACGGUAGGGUAGGAAUAAGCCCCGGCCAAUUACGUGCCAGCAGCCGCGGUAACACGUAUGGGGCGAGCGUUGUUCGGAAUCAUUGGGCGUAAAGGGCGCGUAGGCGGUUAUGCAAGCUUGGUGUGAAAUCCCACAGCUCAACUGUGGAUCCGCACUGAGAACUGCAUGACUAGAGUUCAAGAGGGGAAGCUGGAAUUCCUGGUGUAGGGGUGAAAUCUGUAGAUAUCAGGAAGAACAUCAGUGGCGAAGGCGAGCUUCUGGCUAUGAACUGACGCUGAGGCGCGAAAGCGUGGGGAGCGAACAGGAUUAGAUACCCUGGUAGUCCACGCUGUAAACGAUGUGCACUAUGUGUUGGGUCGCUGAAGACUCAGUGCCGUAGCUAACGCGUUAAGUGCACCGCCUGGGGAGUAUGCUCGCAAGGGUGAAACUCAAAGGAAUUGACGGGGGCCCGCACAAGCGGUGGAGCAUGUGGUUUAAUUCGAUACGCGAGAAACCUUACCAGGGCUUGACAUAUACAGGAAGUCGUGAGAGAUCACGGUGCCCUUCGGGGCCUGUAUACAGGUGCUGCAUGGCUGUCGUCAGCUCGUGCCGUGAGGUGUUGGGUUAAGUCCCGCAACGAGCGCAACCCUUGCCAUCUGUUGCCAGCAUUUCGGAUGGGGACUCAGAUGGAACUGCCGGUGACAAACCGGAGGAAGGUGGGGACGACGUCAAGUCAUCAUGGCCCUUAUGUCCUGGGCUACACACGUGCUACAAUGGCCGGUACAGAGCGAUGCAAAACCGCGAGGUGGAGCAAAUCGCAGAAAGCUGGUCUCAGUUCGGAUUGGAGUCUGAAACCCGACUCCAUGAAGGUGGAAUCGCUAGUAAUCGCGCAUCAGCAUGGCGCGGUGAAUACGUUCCCGGGCCUUGUACACACCGCCCGUCACACCACCCGAGUUGGGGGUACCCGAAGUCGCUAGCCUAACCUGUAAAGGAGGGCGGUGCCGAAGGUAUGCCUGGUAAGGGGGGUGAAGUCGUAACAAGGUA